ensembl:lncRNA
GGGAUGUAUAGAGGGCAUAAGGUAGUCUUUAGGAGGUCUGUGUCUGUGUGUGUGUGUGUGUGGGGGGGUUUAUAGAGGGCAUGAGGUAGUCUUUAGGAGGUCUGUGUGUGUGUGUGUGUGUGUUGGGGGAUAUAUAGAGGGCAUAAGGUGGUCUUUAGGAGGUCUGUGUGUGUGUGUGUGUGUGGGGGGUGUAUAGAGGGCAUAAGGUAGUCUUUAGGAGAUCUGUGUGUGUGUGUGGGGGAUGGGGUAUAUAGAGGGCAUGAGGUAGUCUUUAGGAGGUCUGUGUGUGUGGGUGGGGGUGUAUUGAGGGCAUAAGGUGGUCUUUAGGAGGUCUGUGUGUGUGUGUGUGGGGGGGUGUAUAGAGGGCAUAAGGUAGUCUUUAGGAGAUCUGUGUGUGUGUGUGGGGGAUGGGGUAUAUAGAGGGCAUGAGGUAGUCUUUAGGAGGUCUGUGUGUGUGGGUGGGGGUGUAUAGAGGGCAUAAGGUAGUCUUUAGGAGAUCUGUGUGUGUGUGUGGGGGAUGGGGUAUAUAGAGGGCAUGAGGUAGUCUUUAGGAGGUCUGUGUGUGUGGGUGGGGGUGUAUUGAGGGCAUAAGGUAGUCGUUAGGAGGUCUGUGUGUGUGUGUGGGGG